GGUUCCAUAGUGUAGCGUUAGCACGUCUGCUUUACACGCAGAAGGUCCUGGGUCCGCGCCCCAGUGGAGCCA
rfam:Pteropus alecto contig64255, whole genome shotgun sequence.